rnacentral:rRNA from 1 species
UGCUGCUCGAAGAUCUUAGUGGCGGACGGGUGAGUAACGCGUGGGCAAUCUGCCCGUAAGAGGGGGAUAACACCUAGAAAUGGGUGCUAAUACCGCAUAACAUCAUAGGGUUGCAUGACCUUGUGAUCAAAGGAGAAAUCCGCUUAUGGAUGAGCCCGCGUCUGAUUAGCUAGUUGGUGGGGUAACGGCCUACCAAGGCGACGAUCAGUAGCCGGCCUGAGAGGGUGAUCGGCCACACUGGAACUGAGACACGGUCCAGACUCCUACGGGAGGCAGCAGUGGGGAAUCUUCCGCAAUGGGCGAAAGCCUGACGGAGCAACGCCGCGUGAGUGAUGAAGGCCUUCGGGUUGUAAAACUCUGUCUUCAGGGAAGAAAAAAAUGACGGUACCUGAGGAGGAAGCCACGGCUAACUACGUGCCAGCAGCCGCGGUAAUACGUAGGUGGCAAGCGUUGUCCGGAAUUACUGGGCGUAAAGAGCGCGUAGGCGGGGAUUUAAGUCAGGAGUGAAAACUACCGGCUCAACCGGUAGCCUGCUCUUGAAACUGAAUCUCUUGAGGGUAUGAGAGGAAAGCGGAAUUCCCAGUGUAGCGGUGAAAUGCGUAGAUAUUGGGAGGAACACCAGUGGCGAAGGCGGCUUUCUGGCAUACAACUGACGCUGAGGCGCGAAAGCGUGGGGAGUAAACGGGAUUAGAUACCCCGGUAGUCCACGCCGUAAACGAUGGGCACUAGGUGUAGGAGGUAUCGACCCCUUCUGUGCCGUAGUUAACACAAUAAGUGCCCCGCCUGGGGAGUACGGCCGCAAGGUUGAAACUCAAAGGAAUUGACGGGGGCCCGCACAAGCGGUGGAGUAUGUGGUUUAAUUCGACGCAACGCGAAGAACCUUACCAGGGCUUGACAUCC